rnacentral:RNase_P_RNA from 1 species
CGGAGUGGGCUGGCGGCCCACGGGGGUAACCCUGAGGAAACUUCACCCUCCACGCGGCAGCGGAGCCCCGUGAGGGGCGCGGGGAGACCCGCGGCAAUGCCACAGAAACGACACGGCCUCCGUCUAAUGACAAUGACACGGCGAGAUCUCCCCGGCGACGGGGAGAUAGGUAACCCGUAGAGGAGGACGGGGGAUGCGAUGAAACGGGCACCCUCCGCGGAGCAAGGCAACCAGCCGAGGAGAUGCCGCGCGAGGCUGGUGAAGCCGCAAAGUCGAAUGCCGCCGAAGUACAAAAGGUGAGUUAUAGCCCGCACCG